rnacentral:rRNA from 1 species
GUGGGGAAUUUUGCGCAAUGGGGGGAACCCUGACGCAGCAACGCCGCGUGCGGGACGAAGGCCUUCGGGUUGUAAACCGCUUUCAGCAGGGACGAAUUCCGACGGUACCUGCAGAAGAAGCCCCGGCUAACUACGUGCCAGCAGCCGCGGUAAUACGUAGGGGGCGAGCGUUAUCCGGAUUCAUUGGGCGUAAAGCGCGCGUAGGCGGCGCGCCAAGCGGGACCUCUAACCCCGGGGCUCAACCCCGGGCCGGGUCCCGGACUGGCGCGCUCGAGUGCGGUAGAGGCGAGUGGAAUUCCCGGUGUAGCGGUGGAAUGCGCAGAUAUCGGGAAGAACACCGAUGGCGAAGGCAGCUCGCUGGGCCGCCACUGACGCUGAGGCGCGAAAGCUGGGGGAGCGAACAGGAUUAGAUACCCGGGUAGUCC